UUGAACGCAAAUCGCUGGCACGUUCCUUAAAUGACACUAAAACAGCAAUAGAGAAGCUGAAUAGGCUUGCCUCAGGGGUUUUGCUUCUGGUGAUCAUUAUCGUGUGGCUACUUCUAGUGGGAUUUUUGACGACUAACAUACUGGCACCCUUUUGAUGUAGGGGACCGUUGUGUUGUUGAGGGAGUACGGAGAGGAUCAUAUUGACGAAGGUCUUCUUAAGAUCUGACAACGAGAAAGUUUUCUAUCCAAAUUCAGUACUGGCUAGUAAACCCAUCAGCAACUUCUAUAGGAGCCCGGAGAUGGGUGAUUCUGUUGAUUUUACUAUUGACGCUUCUACUACGGUUGAGACUAUUGUGGCUCUGAAAGCCAGAAUAAAAGAGUACUUAGACAGCAAGACAGCACUGGCGUCCUGGCCAUAGCGUGGUGGUUAAGGAUAUUGAGGACUCGAACAAAAUGAAAAUGGCUCUUUAUGUUACACAUACCAUGAACUUUCAAAACUAUGUUGACAAGAAUCCGAUUUGGUCUUAGAGCUGAAGAAAAUGUUCAAAGAUCUUGGUAUAAAAUAUCACCUGCUGCCUCAAGAAGUUCAUCUCCACUAUGUCAGAUCAUCCACUGCAGAACUUCCACCCACGUGGCGGUGAUUGUUUCUGUGUAAGCUGCAAGUACACAUCUUAUGGCUCAUGGCAUUAACUUGAAAUUUUCAUCGCAUUUGAUGGCGGGAGGUGUGAAUGAAGUAGCCACAAAUCUCAUCAGAACAAAAAUAAAAAUGUAGGAUGUGUUAGAAUUCGUCUCGGGGAAGUUUUCGAUUGUUCGAUUGAAUUGCACUUGGUAUGGAUGAGUUCGGUGAAGAAUGCUCAGUGGAAGAAGCCUCCACGCUGAGAGAUACUGAGAUUUGAGAGAGCUGGUGGAAACACGAUGUUGUACUUUUAGAAAUGUUUAUACAAAUUUCGAACGUAUUUGUGUUAAUUGUAAAAAUUGAUUUAUGCAUAAACUCAGAGUUUUCUUCCUCUCUACCCUUUUCAAUUCCUUCGAUUACAAGUAAUAUGUACAUUGAGGACUGAGUUUCAUAUUAAAACAUGAGAU